ACUAUGGCAUGGACCCUCAUCCUCGAGCCCCACUACUCAGAGGAGCUGGGAAGAAUUUCCACCCUUCCUAGUGGCAAGUCUCACUGUGAGAGCGGAGUGCCACCAGGCAAACAGGGCAGAAAGACUGCUUUAAGGAGAAUCCUUAUAUUGGGGGUUAUGAAGUGCAAUACACCCUCAUCCUCACGCUAACACUGGUACCAUGUAGCCCAAGCUUGUCUAACCUGCAGCCCGCGGGCUGUGUAUGGCCCAGGACAGCUCUGAAUGUGGCCCAACGCAAAUUUGUAAACUUUCUAAAACAUUAUGAGAUUUUUUUUUCUCAUCAGCUAUCAUCAGUGUGAGUGUAUGUUAUUUGUGACUCAAGACAAUCCUUCUUUUCCAAUGUGGCCCAGAGAAGCCAAAAGACUGGACACCCCUGAUGUGGCCCUUUCAUCCAUAGUAGCCUAUUUUGUCCUAAAGACGGUCUUGUGCAGUGAGUAGGCCAGGCCUCCCCACUACCACAGUUUACAGGCAAGGAAUGUGAUAUUUCAUAGGAUGACCCUGACUGGCACCUACAUUGCUAGCCAAAGAAUGGCACAAAGAUGUGGACAGAAGAGACAACCUUAAGCAGCUGACUGCUGGCUCCUGCAACAGUAUCAUCAUGGCAUUUGUCCUGGGGUCCCAAGGAAAGAAAACAAAUCUGUGGCUGAGGAACAGACUGAGUUGACAAAGCAGCUUCCACAGUAACACAAGGACAAAGGGUGUAUGUAGAUAUGCACGUGGUAGCAGGUUCUACUAAAGGAACCUGGACCGACCAUUCUUAUAUCGUGUAAAGAAAAGCCUUCCAAGGAGAAGCUUUGGGAAGCACUUCUGUAAUGAAUUACAUUGAGAUCUUCAGAGGACAGAAACUUAAUCUCGAGUUAGAGACAUGCUGUCAUUACCAAAACCACGUAUAGAGCAUCUCUCCUCAGUCAGACAAGAACCAAAGGCAACUGACGUGACUGCUCUCUCCUUGGAAGGACGGCAGGAGCCAUGGCGCUGUGAACUCAAACUUCAGGGAGCUUCAGACCCUCCUGCUUGUGACCAUACCCAUGCCUGGGCUCUUGACUAUUUAAAUGUGUUUUGAAAACAACUCUCAUUAUAGAAAUGAAAAGCCUGAAGCUUUCUCAGCAAAAAAGGUUUAACUGAUGAUACUCUACAAAGAAUAAAUACAUCAAUCUAAUUGAACCAA
rnacentral:lncRNA from 1 species